UUUGUUAGUGAUAACUGAACGUGAAUAUAUUGGAUCUUAUCUGGAGUACCCCAUCUUCAAAAUCAUUUCAAUGAAGAUUUUUCCUUGUGAUCAUUCUCUUAGGAAUGCUCCAGAAGAACAAAAAACGAUGGAGAGUGAGUUUUCUCACUUGUUGAAUGUUGCAGAGAGAACCUCGGGACUUUAUUUCUCUUACGAUGUGAAUAUAACAUUGAGUGCUCAACGACUGCAUGAUUUGGGUGAUGAAUCAAAAUUGCUUCCCCUUUGGAGACAAG